rnacentral:lncRNA from 1 species
AACCCUAGUUUCCCAGUGCUGGAAUAUAGAAAAUGGAUGGACAAGUAAAUCCCACUCAGCACCCAUAGUCCAGGCAUGGGGACCUCAACACACCUGAGCCCCAGACAUCACCUUUCAUUCUGGACCUACCAUGAAAGACUUCUGAAUCCAGGAAGAGAAACUGGCUGGGCAACAUGUUAUUCAGAAACAGGACCUUGCCCUGUCACUCAGGAUGGAGUUCAGUGGUCCUAUCAUGGCUCAUUAUAGCCUCAAACUCCCAGGCUCAAGCAAUCCUACCAUGUCAGCCUUCCCAGUAGCUGGGACUACAGGCUGGAGUACAGUGGCACAACCUCUGCUCACUGCAGCCUCCACCUGCCAGGCUCAAGCAAUGCUCCUGCCUCAGCUUCCCGAGUAGCUGGGAUUACAG